AGUGAGUGCUGAGUGUUUAACAUAGAAUGGACGACUAAAUACUUUUUCACUGAAGUCUGGUCAAAGGCUGUAUGUCUAAUUUGUUAUGGAAACCAUUGCGGUUUUAGAGGAAUAUAACAUCAGCAGUUAAAAUCAAGCUUGCAGGCUCAGAAAAACACCUUUAUCUGACAAACUACCAUCCAAGACCCUGAAACAGCGCUACGGGAGCUGCAGUUGGAAUUGAUUGAUGUCCAAUGUGAUACUGUCUUAAAAGAGAAGUCUCAAACUGGAUGAGUUUCAUGCUUCAUUAAGCGCAGACAAAUUUCCAAAAAUACGGAAGGUGGCACAGAGGAUGCUGGUGGUGUUUGGCGCUACAUAUGUGUGUGAACAGACUUAGUGUGAUGAACACCAAAAAACAUCCGACAGAUCCCAGCUGAGUGAUGAACACCUCAGAUGUGUUCUGAGAAUUGCCGCGUCAAAACUAACACCGGACUGUGAUGCACUGGCAAAAAAAAAGCAUCUGGUUCUGGUUUGGGUGCCUGUCAAAUUUUAAAAGUCAAUGUGGCUUCUGAGCCAAAACGUUUGCCCACGCCUGGCCAAGCUGGACAUCGGGAUGCGGAGGAUGGUCAGUAGCUGAGUUCGCUGCACGCAUGUUCAUGAGUCACAACCAAAGCCGGCUGUUCGAGAGCUUGCAGAGAGAGAGAUAGGUUCUGAUUGGGCUUCUGGACGCGGAAGUAAAGCAGCAUCAAGCUUGUAGGCAGGAGCUCCCAGAAGAACAAAAUGAUCCCAAACACCAUGUAGGCCUCGCCGCUGAGCUUCAACACAGCCUGCAACAAACACGCAAG